rnacentral:rRNA from 1 species
GUGGGGAAUCUUCCGCAAUGGACGAAAGUCUGACGGAGCAACGCCGCGUGAGUGAUGAAGGUCUUCGGAUUGUAAAGCUCUGUUAAUCGGGACGAAAGAGCCUAGUGUGAAUAAUGCUAGGAAGUGACGGUACCGGAAUAGAAAGCCACGGCUAACUACGUGCCAGCAGCCGCGGUAAUACGUAGGUGGCAAGCGUUGUCCGGAAUUAUUGGGCGUAAAGCGCGCGCAGGCGGAUCUGCCAGUCUGUCUUAAAAGUUCGGGGCUUAACCCCGUGAUGGGAGGGAAAAUACAGAUCUAGAGUAUCGGAGAGGAAAGUGGAAUUCCUAGUGUAGCGGUGAAAUGCGUAGAUAUUAGGAAGAACACCAGUGGCGAAGGCGACUUUCUGGACGAAAACUGACGCUGAGGCGCGAAAGCCAGGGGAGCGAACGGGAUUAGAAACCCUGGUAGUCC